rnacentral:snoRNA from 1 species
GGAUGGAUGAAAUUUUGGAAAAAAAACAUUUUUUGGAACAAAAUACAAAAAAAAUGAAAAUUUAUUAUUUUUCAAAACUGAUGUCC